UACGUAGGGUGCGAGCGUUGUCCGGAAUUAUUGGGCGUAAAGAGCUCGUAGGCGGUCUGUCGCGUCUGCUGUGAAAACUCAGGGCUUAACCCUGAGCUUGCAGUGGGUACGGGCAGACUAGAGUGCGGUAGGGGAGACUGGAAUUCCUGGUGUAGCGGUGAAAUGCGCAGAUAUCAGGAGGAACACCGGUGGCGAAGGCGGGGUCUCUGGGCCGUAACUGACGCUGGAGGAGCGAAAGCAUGGGGAGCGAACAGG
rnacentral:rRNA from 1 species